GGCCUAAUGGUCUAGUAGCAUGAUUCUCGCUUUGGGCUUGAGCCUUGAUGCGAGAGGUCCUGGGUUCAAUUCCCAGUUAGGCCC